rnacentral:misc_RNA from 1 species
GUGAAUCAUCAAAUUUUUGAACGCAAAUUGCACUCUCUUCGGAGAGUAUGCCUGUUUGAGGGUCAGCGUAUAAAAAUCGACAUCGUUGCUGUUUUGCGGUGGCGUUCGGCGGAAAUUGUGUCAUCUUAUAUCCUUUUGAUUUAAGCGACUUAAAAUAUUCUCUUUGUUCCAUGAACGUUUCUAAGAUGUAUUUCUUUACACGUUUAAGGUAUCGAUUUUUACUUUGCUUGACCAUAAUAUCGGUUCGCGU